CGACGUGGGUAACCUGCCUCACACAGGGGGAUAGCAGUUGGAAACGGCUGAUAAUACCGCAUAAGCGCACAGUACCGCAUGGUACAGUGUGAAGAACUCCGGUGGUGUGAGAUGGACCCGCGUCUGAUUAGCUAGUUGGCAGGGUAACGGCCUACCAAGGCAACGAUCAGUAGCCGACCUGAGAGGGUGACCGGCCACAUUGGGACUGAGACACGGCCCAG
rnacentral:rRNA from 1 species